rnacentral:lncRNA from 1 species
AAACGGGAAUACGAAUGAGGAUGGCACUGGGCGUUUCUUUGUGGAAGGCUCGCGUCCCAGACAGAGAAAGAACAAGAAUGAGACAUUGAAACAGGCAGAAAGUCUCCGUCUAGAAUUUCAAGAUCAAAUUAAGGCUGGCUGCAAAGCAGUUUCUAUCCCGAAGUGAUCUUGUAAAGUGCCAACCUCAGUGUGAGCACAUUUGCACCAACGCAACGAAGCUUGAGCUCUAAGGCGGUACAUUGAAGUGAAGGGGUGGAGCGUCAUGAGCCUUCUGGCACACUAACUGAAGGAACCAGAGUAGCAGGUCUGAUCAGGGAACGCCGGCCACCCAUGGUAUAAAUCCUGGAGAGAGACACCUUGGACUGGGGGUGACAGAGGAGAGGAAAGGAGACUGAACCUACCCUCUACCCUUCCCUUGCCUGCUGCUGCAGUGUGGCAGUGCUAUUUUCAUUCUCACUCUGAUAUUCCACACCCAGGCAGGAACCAUGCCGGCCCUGUCCACCGGAUCUGGAAAUUACUCGGGUACCGAAUGAUGUGAUGAACCCUGUUUCCUUUCAGCUGUGCACACUAAACCCCGUUCCCUAUUCACGAUGCACAUCCCCUUUAUACACUGCACUAACUCUGUGCCCUUAAGGCUGUUCACACUCAGCCUUAAGGCUGUUCCAAUACGCCGGAUUCUGUCUCCACUGUAGGUUUUUACAAAGAAGCAUAGUUCAUACAGUUCCUUCAAAGUAUUCAUACCCCUUGAUUUAUUCCUUGAUUUAUUCCACAUUUUGACCUAUAGCCAAAAUGGAUUAAACAUUUUAUUUAUUAUUAAUUGUUCUAUCUCUCACCGUACACUCGAUACAC